rnacentral:lncRNA from 1 species
AAUUAGGGUUUCCCCCUUCCUCUUCUUCUUCUUCACCGAUGCCUCAGAUCCUUGGAUGUGGCACCAACCCCAAUCCUCGAGGUUCGAAGGACUCUAUCAAUGGCGUUGUUCAUGGAUUGAGCGGAACGAUCCAUCUUAUGGGAUCAAAUGUGGAGGUACCUUCGAUUUGAUGAGUUGUUCUCAUUACAAUUAGGGCUCCAAGCUACUAUGAUUUGUGUUCUCUUCAUAAUUUUGUGUAUAUUGAUCAAUUUGCAUGUAAAUAAUAUUUUUUUUUCCAAAAUUUUAUUGAUUUUGUGGAGCUCUGCGUUUGUUGUUAGUCUGAUACUUAGUUGGUGAUGCUCUUUUGCGCUUAGAAUUUGACAUUGGAGAUUAUGACGCUAUAAACCAAUGAAAUAAUCAAACCAUCUUAGCUUAGGUAGUAAGGCAUCUUGGUGCAGAAACCGACCAAUAAAAUAACCAAACCAUCUUAGCUUAGGUAGUAAGGCAUCUUGGUGCCGAAACCGAGUGUGUGCUCUUUAUACUUAUUUGAUAAACAAGGAGACCAAAUAAUGUCGAUCCGUUUUUGUAAUUUACCUUAUACUAAAAGGUGGUCGCCCUAGGUAUUUGGAGUGAAGUGUCACAAAUGUUAUAGCAUAAGAAUUGUGAUGCUAUCCUUGUCUAAACUUGUUACUUAAAUUCAUACGUCGCCAAAGCUUCAGUGACAAGUGGUGGUUGAAUGUCGCUAUCUCAACGACGAACCAUGUACUCUCUUGUCGCAGCUGACCAUGAAAUGAAUGAAGCUAAGUUAGAGACUUCUAUGAAGAGAAUCUUUGGCUUGCACUUAUGGAUCUUACUAUCAAAAUUUUAUGACUACAUUAAUGGAGCAAUUAUUAAUCGUCCUAUUUGUUAUAAGACGAUACUCAAGAAUUAUGCAUCAACUAUGAGAUGAAAUGAUCGAUUGUCCCCAAUGCAAGUGACACAUGGUUUGAUGGUUGGUACCUGUUGGUUCCAAAUUCGAAACCUAGUUGCUACAUAUUUCUAGCUAAGUUUAUUUCUUAAAAAAAUGGAAGAAGCAAGUAACAUGCUAUCUUUUUCUUGCUUAGGAAAAAAGAAAAAACUAUAAGAUGAAAUGAACAUUACAACUUGGGCUCCUUAUACUCUUUGUUUGGUCUAUCCCAGCCCUCAUUUUUGAGUUUCAUUUUCUUUGUUGUUUGGAAUGCAAGUGUCAUAUGUGAACCCUUGUUUGCCUUCUGAAUGAUGUUUCAGAACCUGAAAUGGGAAAACAACUAUAUAAUUUACAUGAUCAUGUAACUAAUUCACUAAGUCAUUCAACCAGUGAUAUCACAAUUUUGUAAUACACACAAAUUGCAAGAGGAUACUAUAGAACAUAUACGAAAUGAGAAAAAUCUAGGAACAAAUAAGUGGAUAUCUGUCAUAUACUAGCAUUUAACAUACUAGUUUAUUUUGGUCUUGGUUGCUAUGAGGUUUAUUUGUCUCCUAAGUUGGUGUAUUGAGAAGAAGUAGGAAGUGGAGCAGAAGACAAACCAAAAGAAAGUUAGCUGAUAUAUCACUGCAUAUAAUGGCUUAGAUUUUUGUGUUAUAUCAGGAAAAUUCGUCUGGUUAAGAAGCGCCAAAUUAAGUGAGUCAAUAACAUCUGUUGACAUUGGGUGCACGGUGCAAACUCGCUGUCCUUUAUUUUUUCACUCAGCUACUUUCUGCAUUACCUAUCGUAAAGCAUCUAUUGUGAUAUGUUGAGCCUUAGUGAUUCAACUUCUGUAAUUUGAGAAUUGUGAGAACCAGAAUCUUCUUCUAACUAGUGUGUGAAUUAUAUUAUUGUCAUGAUGUAGUAUGCUACACAAAAUUGUAAUUUAUACAUUAUGCAAAUGUACUGCCCAAGUUCAGUUUUCAGAAUUUAUACUCUUCUUUGAUCUGCAAUUACAUCUAUGUCGUGUAUUCAUUUUUUUGGAAGUGCUAUGCCGUGCUAUUGUUACGUUCAUGAAACGACCUUACUCUCUAUUUAAUAUUUUUGUAUAAUCCUUUGCUAAGCAGACGAAGAAGGUAGCAGGAAAAAUUGAUUACACUUAUGGUUUACUACUCUCGACAUUUGACAGUCUCAUCUUGGGAGCUCCAUCAAGAUUAUCGUGGUGCACGAAAGAAACAUUCGAAUGGUAUAUUACAUGCUUAUCCUGUUUAUAACAAGGUGUUUACUUUUCUUUUUUCUUUCGUGAAAUUUACUGAUUUAAAACUCAUCUUUGGUGCUUAUUAGUCGCAUCUUUGGAGGUGAGCAGGAUUUAGAAAGAAAAAGUUUCCAGUGCUAGCAGCACUCGCAGAACUGCUGCGAAGGAUCAACACACUGAAGAACAUUAAGGAAGACAUCCUUGCCACAGGGUAUGCAGAGUCUGGAAUCGGGCUGGAACUCAUACUCAUCGCGAGCUCGAUCAAGCAAUUCCUGGAACAAGGGGUGCUCAAGGUAGGAAAGCCUAAUAACGUACCUCUUGCACUCCUCUCCCACAUACACUACCAUGUGACCCUUGGGGACGUCUUUUGGAAUAGUAGUUUGCUCUUCCUCUUUACUAUUCAGAAGAGACCUCUCUAACUUAUUAUACCGACUUGUGGAGGUUGAGAACUCGUGGCGCAUCUUCUUCCACUUCUUCAGGAAAGCCUUGAGGAAUCUCCCCUUUAGUAUCUUCAUUGGUUCUAGUGGUGAGUUGAAAAUAGUGUGGAGCCAAUGAGGAAUGACAUGUGCUUAUAUACUGUAGGGGAGCCAUGGUCUUGGAGCGGUUGCAUGAAUUAGAUAAGAUGAUUGAUGUUAAAUCCUACCAUGCACCGGGAGCACCACAUCAGUUGCGCACCACCCAAUGAGAUGUCGUGCUUCCCAUCUCAUACUUCGGACCUCACCGCAGGGAGUUGUAGCAUUUUCUUGAUCUAGAAAUUAUUCUCUGUAAGAGUGAGUUGGACGAUUAGAUUGAAACAUGAGGAAUGGUGGUGCAUGGCUGGCAGGGUGCACCAGGUCCAGAUGAUAUUUUCUCGGUUAAACAUAGCUAGAAGUGAGCUUUAAAUCCUCUUGAUCCAUGUUAAAGGUUAAAUGGCAUGUAAGGUGCUUAUCAAGUGAUUUUACUCAAAGCAUUAAAUGGGUAUUCUCGGAUGAUUGGUUGGAUGGGAGGUCCAAUGGGAUAUAUAUAUAUAUAUAUAUAUAUAUAUAUAUAUAUAUAUAUAUACUAAUUUUGUUUUUAUUUUCUCUUUUAAUAGCAGGUAAGCUGUACGAAACUGUAUGGAAUGGUACAAUGCGCCCGAUGGAUAGGAGCAAUCUCUUUCCAAAUGGAUUGGCUCUCGAAGCGAAACUGAGCAUAUUACUGCUCCUCGAAGUUCUCAAAGUUGUUGACACCACAUCAUUGGUAGGGGGGGCCAAGGAUAAGGUUUCCGGAAAGGAAUAGAAGAGGAUGGGAGGACUCAUUCAUUGGAUUGGGUGCUGCAUUCAAUUUCGGAGGGAGGUGAGAGCAUUACUUCUUCUGAUGCUUCAAACACACUUGGCUUAUUCAGUCCACAUUUUGUAUUCAAUUUUGAUUCGGCUGCUGAUUAAGUUGAAACCAAACCUACUUUUUCACGAGAUUAGUAGUUGUUAAUGUUACUGUCUCAGUCAUCGAAAAAUAGGAAGUAUGGUUUAUUAAUAUUCGAAGUCCCUUUAAUGGCAGCUACAAAGAUAAGACUGUAAUAGUAACUAAAGUGGAUACAUUGAACUUUUCGAACCUCUUGUGCUCUUUGUAAAUGUUAGAUUCUGAAUGAGAAAAGCAGUAUACUUUGAAAUCUUGUGCUUUGGCUUCUUGAAUAGAUGGUUGAUAACUUGAUUGCUUAUAUGAUUAGUCUAUAAUUCAAUGAUUAGUUGAUUAUUUAUACAGUGAGUUCAUGUUGGUUGAUGACUUGUUCUUGGUAGAAUGUUUUUCGUG